ensembl:lncRNA
UUUUGUGUCUUUAUUAGGCUAAUAUGAUUAUCAUAUGUCAACAAUUAAGAAAAUAAUUUUCAAAAAAAAAAACCUGCGAAAGAUUCAGCUAUCUGGGUGUAGCUAGUGAAACAAGAUUGAUUGCUUCAGUGAAUUGUUUUACUGUCGAGGGACUUAAAUAACCCAUUUAACAUUACACGAGAACGGACUCCUUCUGGACCGUUUGCGGCGUCUCUUCCCUCAGAUCACAGAGAGGAAAUCAUCAUCUUCAUCAUCAUCAUCAUCAUCAUCACACGGACUCAGAUGUCCCGCGGCGCUGCGUCGGUGAAAUUGGAUAUUUAAGGCAGCGCAGAAAGCAGUUCACAUUCACUCUCCGCGGCGCGCGGCCAGAGAGACGCUCUGCAACUGACUGACAGAUAAUAUGAGACUACAGUCUUGAGAACGAACGACGCUCCAUAACGUGACCGGGAGGAGAACGAGGUACACGGACUCUGUGAGUCCUCGGUGAACGCGGAGGCUGCUUGAGGAGGACGGUGGAUGACCGCGAGCGCUCACUUCAGAAGAGCGCGUGUCACUGAACUCAGCUGCAGGGAAUUAGUAGGACUUUUUCCUCUACAGUGGCAGGCCGUGCUCCACAGAACACUCUCUCAGGUCUGUAUUAUCUGAUCGGGUCCAGACUGAAUUUCACCAUUUUGUCAGCACCAAGGCAGCAGAAGCAGAAGAGCUGAAGGUGACCUGUGGCUGGGCCGGGGGCUGCAACACAGGACAUGGGAGCUGCCUCUCACUCCCGCUCGUGUCUUGUGUUGCAGCCAGUGGAACUGCUGCACUGUCCACAUCAGAGAAGGAAGGAAGCAUCGCGCUCUGGGAACAUUACACCAUCUUACAGUUGCUGUCUGUCAAAUCUUUGCUCCUCUCAUCUUCUUCUAAAAGGAAAACACAGAGCUGAUAAUGACAUCAAACAGGCUUCCAUAUCGACUGAUCGUCCCAGUUGUCAUCGUAAAACAUUAAACACUCGGAGUGGAAAGAAGACUGCGGGAGGGGCAGCGGAAACACGGGGAGGUGAAAUGGAGGACAGGGAAACCAGACAAGACUGAUAUUGGUGCGAGCGCUGGGGAUGUUGGUUUGAUGGCCAACAACCAUGAAAGCACCUCAGCGUGCAGCAGCACUGAAGGAUUUCAUUGUACUCGCUUUUGAUAAAUAUGAGGGGGAGUGAAGCCAGGAACAAUUCCAGCAGUGUUAUCAGGAGCAAACAGGCAGAGUCAUGGGGCCCCAUCUGCAGGAACGAGAUCGCAGCCAUGUUGCUCACUUUCCUGCGCGAGCGUGGACAGGCCGUGACUCAUUCAGCUGGCAGAGGGAAGCCGAUUCUCCAGAGCAUCUCCUAGACUGCCAACUUAUUUAUUGAUAAAGACAAGUGACCCUGUUUAAACAGGCAGCAUCAUCUUUCCUUAUUUUCACUCCACAAAUAUAACCCAUGUUUAUGUCCAUUUAUAUAUAAAUAUAUAUUUUACAUGUAUAGAUAUUAAUAUAUAUGUAUAAUAUUUUAGAAUAUGGAUGUAUAUUUAUCAAUAUAAUGUAAUUGUUAAAAUAUAUGGGGGAAAUUCAGGUUAAUUGGGAUAUUCAGUCAUCAUCUCAAUAGCAAAAAGUAUCCUAAUUUACCUGAAUUCACCCUAAUAAUAACAAUACAUAAUGUAGAAUAUAUGUGUGUGUGUGUGUGUGUGUGUGCAGUGACAACAGUGUGUNUAAAUGAAAAUAUAUAAUAAAUUUUUUUAAAUAAAAUAAAUAUGUAGCCUA